rnacentral:misc_RNA from 1 species
AUUUGUGAUUUUGGGUACUCCAAGGUUAGUACUUAUUUUCUCUCACUUCUGCUUUCUUCUUUCACUUGUGCUUACAUAUUUUACUGCAUCUAUGGACCAUUGGACCUCGUGGUUCAGAUUGUGAAUUUUCUGGUGCACACUAUCAAUUUUGGGGACUAUGCCACUUAGGGAUGCGUUCAUUUUGAGUCGAUGAAAUUGCACUAUAGAUUGAGGACGAUUUAAGAGUUGUGGUUUUUGUUGAAACGCUUUCUAUCCCAAUGAAAUGCUGAAAUAAAUGAGACAAGUUCAAGUUCUAAAAUCUUAUUGGCAAUAUGAUUUAUGAUAUUGGAAUUGGAAGGUACAACAGGUGCUUGAACGAUUCUAUGGAGGAUGUAACAUG